rnacentral:rRNA from 1 species
UGAGUACGAGCGGCUACGGCCGCGAAGUGGAUGAUGUCAAGCUUCCAAGAAGAGCCCUAUACCCGUUAAGGCAUGAUGGCCUGUACCCGAAACCGACACAGGUGGGGUGGUAGAGAAUACCGAGGGGCGCGAGGUAACUCUCUCUAAGGAACUCGGCAAAAUGGCCCCGUAACUUCGGGAGAAGGGGUGCCACCGCGAGGUGGUCGCAGUGAAGAGGCCCAGGCGACUGUUUACCAAAAACACAGGUCUCCGCUAAGUCGCAAGACGAUGUAUGGGGGCUGACGCCUGCCCAGUGCCGGAAGGUUAAGGAAGCUGGUCAGCGCAAGCGAAGCUGGCGACUGAAGCCCCGGUGAACGGCGGCCGUAACUAUAACGGUCCUAAGGUAGCGAAAUUCCUUGUCGGGUAAGUUCCGACCCGCACGAAAGGCGUAACGAUCUGGGCGCUGUCUCGGAGAGAGGCUCGGCGAAAUAGAAUUGUCUGUGAAGAUGCGGACUACGUGCACCCGGACAGAAAGACCCUAUGAAGCUUUACUGUAGCUUGGUAUUGUGCUCGGGCUCGGAAUGCGCAGGAUAGGUGGGAGGCUUUGAUCCAUUGCUUGCGGGUGAUGGUGAGCCACUGGUGAGAUACCACUCUUUCCGAGCUAGAGUUCUAACAGCAACCCGUUAUCCGGGUGCUGGACAGUAUCAGGUGGGCAGUUUGACUGGGGCGGUCGCCUCCUAAAAGGUAACGGAGGCGCGCAAAGGUCUGCUCAGGCUGGUUGGAAAUCAGCCGACGAGUGUAAAAGCAGAAGCAGGCUUGACUGUGAGACCUACAAGUCGAACAGGGAGGAAACUCGGCUUUAGUGAUCCGACGGUUCUGCGUGGAAGGGCCGUCGCUCAACGGAUAAAAGUUACUCUAGGAUAACAGGCUGAUCUCCCCCAAGAGUUCACAUCGACGGGGAGGUUUGGCACCUCGAUGUCGGCUCAUCGCAACCUGGGGCUGAAGUCGGUCCAAGGGUUGGGCUGUUCGCCCAUUAAAGCGGUACGCGAGCUGGGUUCAGAACGUCGUGAGACAGUUCGGUCCAUAUCCGGUGCACGCGCAGGAAUAUUGAGAGGAUUUCUCCCUAGUACGAGAGGACCGGGAGGAACGCACCUCUGGUGUGCCAGUUAUCGUGCCAACGGUAAACGCUGGGUAGCCAUGUGCGGAGUGGAUAACCGCUGAAAGCAUCUAAGUGGGAAGCCCACCUCAAGAUGAGUAUUCCCAUGGCAUAAGCCAGUAAGGUCACGGGAAGAACACCCGUUGAUAGGCUCUACGUGGAAGCGCAGUAAUGUGUGAAGCGGAGGAGUACUAAUAGACC